rnacentral:lncRNA from 1 species
UGUUAACGCCAGGAUCUUUCUCCACGUCCCAAUCACGUAAGACGUCCUGAUCCUGCACAGUAAACACAGUCAACACCGAAAGCUUGACGGCGGUUCCGUCGGGGGAUAGCUCAGGCGUGAGAAUUAGUAUGUGUUCACAAGGUUAACAAUGGAGGAAUGUACUGUCUAGUGUCUGGAGAGAGAUAAUAAUUCUCAGUCGUGUGUGUAUAUGGGAGAAUCUGAAAAAUUAAUAUGUGUGAGAACGUACCUCUAGACGAUGGCUUCCUUGCUAGGUUAUACUAUCUUUACUUGGAUUACUG